UACAGAGGUCCCGAGCGUUGUUCGGAUUCACUGGGCGUAAAGGGUGCGCAGGUGGGUUUGCAAGUUUGAUGUGAAAGCCCCGGGCUUAACCCGGGAAUGGCAUUGAAUACUGCAGAUCUGGAGGAUUGGAGGGGGGACUGGAAUUCUUGGUGUAGCAGUGAAAUGCGUAGAUAUCAAGAGGAACACCAGUGGCGAAGGCGGCUCUCUGGACCGAUACUGACGCUGAGGCGCGAAAGCGUGGGGAGCAAACAGG
rnacentral:rRNA from 1 species